rnacentral:snRNA from 1 species
GUUCUGGGAAACCAAGGACAAAAGCUUCAGCAGCACUUUUAACAGUAGAGUUUAGUGUGGCCCCUGUCCAAGGAUAACAUGCAAAUUAGUGAAAUAUUCCAUGUUUGU